CAGAGGUCCCAAGCGUUGUUCGGAUUCAUUGGGCGUAAAGGGUGUGUAGGUGGCGCUGUAAGUCGGGUGUGAAAUUUCGGAGCUUAACUCCGAAACUGCAUUCGAUACUGCGGUGCUUGAGGACUGGAGAGGAGACUGGAAUUUACGGUGUAGCAGUGAAAUGCGUAGAUAUCGUAAGGAAGACCAGUGGCGAAGGCGGGUCUCUGGACAGUUCCUGACACUGAGACACGAAGGCCAGGGGGAGCAAACGGGAUUAGAUACCCCGGUAGUCCUGGCAGUAAACGGUGCACGUUUGGUGUGGGAGGAUUCGACCCCUUCUGCGCCGGAGCCAACGCGUUAAACGUGCCGCCUGGGGAGUACGGUCGCAAGAUUA
rnacentral:rRNA from 1 species